CUGCAUUGGUUAGUACUUACAAAAAGCAAAAUUAAAAAAAUACUAACUAUACUAAUAUCACUACGCAUUGGGUUGCCUCCCAACUAGUUCCUUAGUUAAUGUCGUGGCACGACCGUUACAACAAGUCAAUGGAUUGCCUCGCAUGUAGCACCUGAUUCAACUCGUGACACGAUGCAGAUGAGCGUAUUUAAGGCUUGAUUGACCUUCAAGGUUUAGUCAUAUGGGUCGCUAACUCUUCCUUGGGUUCAUCCAUGCCCAAAUAUGGUUUCAAUCUCUGCCCAUUGACUCUAAAUGUAUGGGAAUUGUUUUUUGAGGAAAUCUCUAUGGCACCUGAAGGGAGCACUUCGACCACCUGAAAUGGUCCAGACCAUCGUGACUUGAGUUUACCUGUAAAUUUCCUUAAUCAUUAGUUAUAAAAGCAACACCAUGUCUCCGGGAUUGAAAUUUUGCUCAACAAUGUUCUUGUUAUGCGACCUCUUUAUUCUCUCCUUGUACAACCUCGUGCUCUCGAAAGCA
rnacentral:lncRNA from 1 species